rnacentral:rRNA from 1 species
AGUGAACGCUGGCGGUAGGCCUAACACAUGCAAGUCGAACGGCAGCACAGUAAGAGCUUGCUCUUACGGGUGGCGAGUGGCGGACGGGUGAGGAAUACAUCGGAAUCUACUUUUUCGUGGGGGAUAACGUAGGGAAACUUACGCUAAUACCGCAUACGACCUACGGGUGAAAGCAGGGGAUCUUCGGACCUUGCGCGUUUGAAUGAGCCGAUGUCGGAUUAGCUAGUUGGCGGGGUAAAGGCCCACCAAGGCGACGAUCCGUAGCUGGUCUGAGAGGAUGAUCAGCCACACUGGAACUGAGACACGGUCCAGACUCCUACGGGAGGCAGCAGUGGGGAAUAUUGGACAAUGGGCGCAAGCCUGAUCCAGCCAUACCGCGUGGGUGAAGAAGGCCUUCGGGUUGCAAAGCCCUUUUGUUGGGAAAGAAAAGCAGCAGGUUAAUACCCCGCUGUUCUGACGGUACCCAAAGAAUAAGCACCGGCUAACUUCGUG